rnacentral:misc_RNA from 1 species
AGUGAUAUUUCUUGAGAUUUUUAGGCACUUCAACUGUUGGUUGCCCGUGAUGCAAGUAGUAGUGGGUUACAUCAUACAUAACAUAGCCCAAUAAACCGCCUCCAAACAAAGCAGGAGCAGUAGUGGGAGUUGCCAGCAAUUUGAUCAAGUUCCAGAAUGGUACGAGGAGAAUAGCCGUUGCAGCAGGAGGAAAAACCAGCCGUAGACCAUCCAUGGGAUGCUUAUGAUGACAGCCAUGAAGAAGAUAAUGAAUUGUGUUUCCCCAAUAGCUCGUUGUAUUGAUAUGGAAAA